ACUUCUCUUCUGAUUUCCCCUCAGCCUGCUACACACUAAUUUUUAAAAACUGCUAUUUUCAUUAUAUUUCUCAUCCACACCAGAAAGUAUGAUGCUCCUGUGACUUUCCAAAGUGAUUUUCACUAUGCAAUUGUAUACCAGAUUUUGUGUGUAUGUCUGUUAUGCCUUUCUCUUUUAUCAGAAUCUCAAAGAGGUAUCUUCGAGCUAUGUGAAGAACUGUGGCUCAUACAAAGAAACAAAAGUGGUUGUUGGCAUCUCCCCAAGGCGUUCCUUGGGGUAUGUGGAGUAAAGGCUGUUCCAAAGCUUUGUGUCGUGGCUGGGAGGAUCUUACUGAAGAGCUGAGACAGUGUGUCGGAGAGAUGACAGCUUGGAAGGCUGUCAUGCUUACAGACUGCUUUUGAAAGAGGCCGUGCUGGCCACAACCAAGAAGGUAGCGACGCAGUCUGUUUCUUCAGCACUGGGGACCGCGUUGUGUAGCAUGGGAGCCUUCUAUCCUAGCCACAGUUGGAGGGGGAGAGGACACCUGGCACAGAGGUAGCCGAUCUACGGGCCACUCAGUGGCUUCUGAGAUAGCCGCAAAUAAGAACUUUCCCCCAAAAGGACAAUGGUGACAGAUUCUCCUCUCGGUGACAUUUGAUAAUGGAGAGGUGGCAGCAAGUGGGAGCAGGAUGGAAAGAGCUGUGGUGGUUUGUGUACCUUGCAUCAUGACUGCGUUCUGAAGACCGCUGACGAUGAGUUGAGGCAGCGGUGUGCAGGGCGCGCCCUUACAGGCCCGGGAGCCGGUGGGUGCCAGCGUCUCUUCCCAGCUCUGCCUCACGUCGGUGCAGGUACUGACACCACAUAAAUUGAUUUUUGUUACAAUUGAGAUCUCCUGUCUCCAGAUCUGGUUGGUAAACAUUUACUAGCACACCACUGGGUAGAGAGAGGGGAGGGAUGGCACUUAGAGAACAGGGGAAGCAGUUACCUUUUCUGGGCCCUUUGUCUUACUUGUGGGGAAGAGCACUGGGUGUUAUAUGGAAACCAACUUAACGAUAAACUAUAUGAAAAAAAAAAGCAAACAAGGUAAUAUAUUUAAGGUAAUAUGUUAACAUGGUUGGUAUUAAGAUUAUAGUAAAAAGAGAC
rnacentral:lncRNA from 1 species